ACUGGAGGGGGGUCCCUCAGCCCGGAUUCUGAGAGGGCACAGGCCAGGUUGAGGGACCCCACUGGUGCACA
rfam:Myotis brandtii contig256032, whole genome shotgun sequence.